rnacentral:snoRNA from 2 species
AUCCCAUGAUGAGGGCAAUUCUUUAUCAUCAAAUUAAAUCGCUCAAAAGCUUCAUGAAACAUUUCACCUUGUUGUUGUUAAAAGCUUCUCAAGCU